rnacentral:rRNA from 1 species
GAUGAACGCUGGCGGCGUGCUUAACACAUGCAAGUCGAACGGUGAAGCAGAGCUUGCUCUGUGGAUCAGUGGCGAACGGGUGAGUAACACGUGAGCAACCUGCCCCUGACUCUGGGAUAAGCGCUGGAAACGGCGUCUAAUACUGGAUAUGAGCUGCGACCGCAUGGUCAGCAGUUGGAAAGAUUUUUCGGUCUGGGAUGGGCUCACGGCCUAUCAGCUUGUUGGUGAGGUAAUGGCUCACCAAGGCGUCGACGGGUAGCCGGCCUGAGAGGGUGACCGGCCACACUGGGACUGAGACACGGCCCAGACUCCUACGGGAGGCAGCAGUGGGGAAUAUUGCACAAUGGGCGAAAGCCUGAUGCAGCAACGCCGCGUGAGGGAUGACGGCCUUCGGGUUGUAAACCUCUUUUAGCAGGGAAGAAGCGAAAGUGACGGUACCUGCAGAAGAAGCGCCGGCUAACUACGUG